GACGAACGCUGGCGGCGUGCUUAACACAUGCAAGUCGAACGGAAAGGCCCUGCUUUUGUGGGGUGCUCGAGUGGCGAACGGGUGAGUAACACGUGAGUAACCUGCCCUUGACUUUGGGAUAACUUCAGGAAACUGGGGCUAAUACCGGAUAGGAGCUCCUGCUGCAUGGUGGGGGUUGGAAAGUUUCGGCGGUUGGGGUUGGACUCGCGGCUUAUCAGUUUGUUGGUGGGGUAGUGGCUUACCAAGGCUUUGACGGGUAGCCGGCCUGAGGGGGUGACCGGCAACAUUGGAACGGAGAUACGGCCCAGACCCCUACGGGGGGAAGCAGUGGGGAAUAUUGCACAAUGGGGGAAAGCCUGAGGCAGCAACGCCGGGUGCGGGAUGACGGCCUUCGGGUUGUAAACCGCUUUCGCCUGUGACGAAGCGUGGGUGAGGGUAAUGGGGAAAGAGGCACCGGCAAACUACGU
rnacentral:rRNA from 1 species